rnacentral:lncRNA from 1 species
GGAAAGAUUAAUCUCACUGGAAUAAUGGUCAAACCUGGAGCACAACACAGUUUGAACAAUGCAGGCAACACCAAAGUGCCAGAAGAGUUCUGCUUAUCCUCACACUGAAUGAAUAUUCCAUCUCCUCUCCAUCCUCAUAUCCAUUUCCAGGCAUUUCCCAGAUGGUGCCUUUUCGGUGUCCUUCAUUCCUCCUUUCUUUUAGAUCAUAUUCAUUCAACAUUCCUGCUGACCACAACAUGGAAGCUUAGUGUGAGUGAAACUUUAUGACUCAUUGAUAUGUUGAUUCUCUAUGACUGACUACUAAUCAUGGAACUUCCAUGGAUUAUACUAAAGUGGUAACUAGACUUCAGCAUCUCAUCUUCCUUUCUAGAUUUAAUAAAUGAGCUGUCAUGAACUAUUUCUGAGGAAACAAGAAGAGUGGGAGAUGGUGACUGCCUAAUCCUUAAGCCAGCUACAUUCUGACUAUCUAGGACAAGUAGACUUGUGACAGAGUCUCAUCUCUUUUUGUUUCUCCUUCCACAAGAACAUGACAUGGAAAUAUUAUGAUGGAUAAGUCCUAGAAAGCUUGUGGAUUUCAGAAGAUCAUGUGGUUUUGGGAAGGCAGUGAGAUGCACCCACUACAGUAGGUGCAGUUUCGAUUACAUAGACAGCAACAAGACUGGGCUAAUGAUAGGAAAACAUGUAGAAAGGAUCAAGCUUGGUUGGACAAUUCCCAGCACUAAAGUGAAUGUUGAAGUGAAUAGCAGAGCUGUAUGUUCUGAUAAAAUUCAAAAUAUUAGCCUCGUAAUCAAAUGUAAUAUAGCAAUAAGGCAAAGAGUCCUUGGAAGUCACAAUUCUUUUACAGUAAUAACUCUCCAGGUAGUGAUGUAGUGUGAUAUUUAAAAGCAAAGCACUUAGAGCUAUUUAUGAGGCUAAGGAACACAGUUUGUCCCAGAUACACCAAAUCUGACAAAAAGGACAAGCUCUUUUAAAUAAUCAAGGAGACAAUACAGCGCAUGGUGAAGGAGACAUUUGAAAAAGGAGCUGAAGAAUUUGGAGAAAGAAAAUCGCCUCAUUUGUCAAGAUAAUUUUAAAGUAAAAUGGAGGUAAGUAACUGUGUCAGUGACAACCUGGUUAGACUUUACAGGCUAAGAACCAAUGUAUGAAUGGAAAUGUGCUUGCUCCUAGUGAAUGUUGCUGUCAAGGGCCCUAUCCUAUUGGUAUUUAACAUUUUUUUUUCUGUCAUAAAGCCCUUUAGCAGUCUGGUGAAACCUAUGUACUGUUUCUA